CCCUUAGAUGUUCUGGGCUGCACGCGCGCUACACUGAAGCGUUCAACGAGUAUUCACCUUGCCCGGGAGGGUUGGGCAAUCUUUUGAAAACGCUUCGUGAUGGGGAUAGAUUAUUGCAAUUAUUAAUCUUCAACGAGGAAUUCCUAGUAAGCGCGAGUCAUCAGCUCGUGCUGAUUACGUCCCUGCCCUUUGUACACACCGCCCGUCGCUCCUACCGAUUGAACGUGCUGGUGAAGCGUUAGGACUGGAGGUCUUGGGCCGGUUCGCCUGCCCAUAGCUUCGGGAAUUUCGUUGAACCCUNCNGUUUAGNGGAAGGAGAANUCGUANCA
rnacentral:rRNA from 1 species